UUCACGUAAUCUAGGGUUUUAGCAUUCGAGUCCCCCUCAUUGUGCGGCGUCGCAUUCAGCUCCUCUGGUUCGCUUUCUCUCCCUUUCGCGUCUCUCAAUGUAUUUUUUUUUUUAAAUUGAAGUUUAAAAAAGUCGUGAUCUAUGCGAUGAAGAUAAUACCUGGAAAGGAAAUUCGAUUGCGCGAGUUUAACUAGUUCCGCAAGAUGAAUCCUUGAUAUUUCUGGGGGUUUUAAGGACGUUAUAGUGAAAGCUUGGUACAAGUGAGCAAGAAUCAUAGCUCCAAACAAAACUUCGAGCGAAGUUGAAACAAGUGAAGGAAAGGCAAAGGUUCAACCAAGACAAAACAAGGGACUUAAGUGCUAGUAUACUUAAAGCUCGAGUUAGGUAGCACAAAAGGAUCCAAUACUUAAAUCAAGUUUUCUAUAUGUAGAUUUCUAUGUGAGUUGCCAUGUUUAAAAAUUUAACAUUUUAGUUAAUAUUUCCAUUAAAAAAACAACAAAUUAA